GCCUUUAUAGCUCAGAGGUAGAGCAUAUUCUUGGUAAGAAUAAGGUCAUGAGUUCAAUUCUCAUUAAAGGCU
rnacentral:tRNA from 1 species